UCUUCCGUAGUAUAGUGGUCAGUAUAUGAGCUUGUCACCGCCACCCUUCAAGGACCGAAGACUAUCGCUCGGGACCCGGGUUCAAUUCCCGGCGGGAGAG